rnacentral:rRNA from 1 species
UACGGGGGGAACAAGCGUUGUUCGGAUUUACUGGGCGUAAAGGGCGCGUAGGCGGCGUGACAAGUCACUUGUGAAAUCUCCGGGCUUAACUCGGAACGGUCAAGUGAUACUGUCGUGCUAGAGUACAGAAGGGGCAACUGGAAUUCUCGGUGUAGCGGUGAAAUGCGUAGAUAUCGAGAGGAACACCUGCGGCGAAGGCGGGUUGCUGGGCUGAUACUGACGCUGAGGCGCGAAAGCCAGGGGAGCGAACGGG